UCAUCAUUGGUCAUCAGUAAAAUGUAAACAAAUAAUAAUUAAUGGAUUAUUUUAAAGAAAUAAUUUAAAUUGUAAGAUAAAUUAAAAAUUUUGAGAAUGAAUAAAGUGUUAGGUGUGCGUCGAGUAAAACUAAUUUAUUAUUAAUGUAACGUUUUGAAUGAUGUCAAGGCUUCUAUUUGCAAAGACUUUUGUUCUCAACGAGAGACAAAGUUGGAUUCUUGUUUGGUGGACGAUUUAAAGCUUUGCCAUGAAGAUAACAUAUACGGACGUUUAUACGGAAUUUCAAAAUGUAGCGUUGGGAAAUGUUCAUCUUUUACAUUUAUUCGUAUCGAUCGUUGAGCGAUGUCAACUGCAAGAUCUAGUUUGGCAAACAAUGCAAGGGCAUUAAAAAAAAUUUUUAAAAGGAAUCCUUCUUGUCUCUAUUGACGGCGAAUUUAAAUUGGGAUUCUUUAGAGCAAUACUGCUUCUGGCAAUUAAUAUUCGCACACGACUUUCCCAUUGACUAUGCACUUUUAAUUCUACCAAAACUUCAAUUUGAGGAAAAUCAUCAAAAUGAGGAAAAUUAACCGCUGCCCACAAGUUCAUGCCAACAAGGAGAGUUAUCGAAAAGCGCAAGGGAAAGAAAAGCAUUUUACAGACAAUCGACGAGAGACAGAAAUUUAGUCAGUGAAACUGACUGCUGAAAUUUCAGCAGUGAAAUAAGUCAACAUUCUUUGGAUAUUUUUUUUUUGCCUCAUAAACUAUGAAAUAACUACAAAUUCUAAAAUAUUCAAUUUAUUUUAUACCUGACAAUAAUUUCUUCUUUCUUUCAUUGAAUUUUCCACAGGGUGUCUAUUGAUUGGGAAAUUUAUUCAG